ensembl:snRNA U6 U6 spliceosomal RNA
GUGCUUCCUUCGGCAGCUCGUACACUAAAAUGGGAAUGAUACGGAGAAGAUCAGCAUGGCCCCUUGCAGGAGAAUGACAUGCAAAUUCAUGAAGUGUUCCAUAUUUUU